rnacentral:rRNA from 1 species
UACGUAGGGGGCAAGCGUUGUCCGGAUUCAUUGGGCGUAAAGAGCGUGUAGGCGGCCAGGUAGGUCGGUUGUGAAAACUGGAGGCUCAACCUUCAGACGUCGACCGAAACCAUCUGGCUAGAGUCCGGGAGAGGAGAGUGGAAUUCCUGGUGUAGCGGUGAAAUGCGCAGAUAUCAGGAAGAACACCCGUGGCGAAAGCGGCUCUCUGGACCGGAACUGACGCUGAGGCGCGAAAGCGUGGGGAGCAAACGGG